UUGUUUUAACUGAUUAUUUCAAAAUUUGAAUUUUUGAAAUUUAUAUCAAUUAUGGAUACUUAUCAAAGUUGUCUAAAUUGUAACGUAUUUCCAAAUUUAUCAAGAUAACUUAUAUUAAAGUUUUAAUUGCUUCCAAAUUUUGUGUUAGUUUCCAUAAUUUUCGACAAUCACAUUAAUUUUCAAGUUUCUCAGAAUUUGUUCUUCUUCUUUUUUUGUAGAUCAUUCCACUUAUUCUGCAGGUAUGUAAACUAGAUUAGAUUGUUAUGUAUUUUAAAUGCUUAAUCGCACUCUUUUUAAAUCAUUUUCCUGUACUUUUGUGUUGCUGAUGAUGAUUUAAAAUUUUCAAAUCUAAUCUUAUUAAUGGAUCUAUUCUUGAUGUCUUUGAAAGAGUGAUGCUUUUACUGAUUUUUUUUUUUAUUUUUUCAUGGUUAACCCUAAAUUUUAUGCCAUUGCCGGACUAUUAAACUUCGUCGGACAUGUUAAUCAAAAGUUUUAGUUUUAUUGUUUUUUCCUAUUUUUUAUCCGGUAUAAUAUUUGGUUUCAUACUUUAUGCUCAUUUAAUUUUGGCUGUAUUUUUUAGUUACUAAUAAAUUUGGUAUUGUAUUAAUUUCCGGAAAAUUUGUAGUGUUUCUAUAAAUAAAUUCAUUUACGUUUUUCGAAACCCCUCCUUUUGUUUGCUUUAUAUUUUUUUCCCUCUCUUAUGAGUUUGUUUCUAUGUCGGUUGGUUUUGCUUGGCAAGGUUAGGCUUUCAUAAUAAGUUUGCUUGAUUUACGGGAUUGGAUAAUAGUGAUUUGAUUUUCAGAUUUUAAAUUAUAAAUUUUGAAAUCAAUCAUUAUUUUAAAUUUAAAUUUUGAAGUAAACCAUUAUCGUGUUUGAUUUUAAAUUUUCAAUUUCGAAGUCAAUUAUUAUUUUAGAUUUAAAUUUGAAAGUUUGCCAUUAAUGUGUUUGAUUUUAAAUUUCGAAUCUGUAAAUUGAAUUUAAAUUUGAAAAGUUAGACUUUCCUAAUAAGUUUGCUUGAUUUACGGGAUUGGAUAUUAGUGAUUUGAUUUUCAGAUUUUAAAUUUUGAAGUCAAUCAUUAUUUUAAAUUUAAAUUUUGAAGUAAACCAUUAUUGUGUUUGAUUUUAAAUUUUGAACGCUUUGAAAUCUUGAUGUUUUUUUAUGAGAUGCUUUGACUAUAUUAUUUGUAAAUUUAGGGAUGCUUCAAGUGAUGAGCUUCUUUCGGACUCCUUCCUCUACAAGGAACUCUUGAAUGGGAUCCUAUGAGAAGUUGAAGAAAAGGUAUAUAUCUUGCACCUUUCUUUUUCUAUAUCUAUAUAUCUAUAUAUCUUAAAUGGGAUCCUAUGGGAAAUUGAUCUUAUUCGAUUCACUGAUGAAUAUUCUUCUCCGCACCAUUUUGUUCCAUUAACCAACUCAUGUGUGCUCUUAUGUUUGAUACCCGAUCUUAUUCCAGUGAUUAAUAUCCGCUUGAGUAACCCAAUCUGAGUCUGAUUUUUUCGUUAACGAUUCAGGUAAACUUUCCGAUUUGGGUUUUCUGCAAGGCUAAUCAUCUAAAUUAAUUUGUUAUUUUUAUGGUUUACAUCCUAAACCCCAGUUUUACAGUAUCUCAUGAUAAUCUUUCUUCGUUUUUUAGAAUCUGAUCAAAUAGGGCCGUAAUCUAAAUAAAUGUGUUUAAGCUACGACAAGGUGAGUAUAACAUUAUGAUUGAUAUUAUAAAAAAAAUAACUAUAACAGUUUCUCUUCCUGUAAUUUUGUAUAGCAUUAUUUAUAAAAUGAUUACAGGUAUGAUAAAAAAAAUAUAAAAGCUGCUCUUCCUGUCUUUUGUUCGCUUCACGUAUCUUCGCUAAAUCAAUAUGUUGGAAGGUUUGUGUAUGUAGAAUUAGUCUGCAUACGCCCACGAAAAAAAAUGUCGAUUUAUAUUGUAUUUCUCAUGACAGUAUGAAGGCUAUGUUUAAGGAUAAAUGAUAAGAUCUUCAAAGGGGUCGAUGCUUUUCAAACUAAAAUAUUGCAAGACAUUAAGGAGGCUACUCUCUGGUGGAUGGUUAACAGAUCGAUAGGCGUCACUCUCUCAAUCUGGUCCACUUUCUCUGGUUUAGACUUUGGUUAGUGUAUGUGUAUAGAAUUUUUUUUUUAAAGUGAUUGGAUGUGUAAUGGGGUAAGAGUAUUUUGGAUGUAUCUUAGUGUGUUUUUUUUCGAAGCUUAAUUGUUGUUUGUAUGCCUCUUUUGGUGAUUAAUUAAGUUUGGUUUACUG
rnacentral:lncRNA from 1 species